UCUGUCAACGGUAAAUCGUAAGACCGAAGGUCGAGAAUUUAGGGAGUUGAUAGACUGUCUGCA
rnacentral:sRNA from 1 species